AAAGCUCUAUAACAUAAAGGUUUGGUCCUAGCCUUAAUAUCAAUUACUACUUAACUUACACAUGCAAGUAUCAGCACACCCGUGAGAACGCCCUUAACUCCUAACCCAGAACAAGGAGCUGGUAUCAGGCACAUUCAUUUUGCCCAUUACACCUAGUUUCACCACACCCUCAAGGGUCUUCAGCAGUGAUCAACAUUGUUAAUAAGCGACAGCUUGACUCAGUCAGAGUAAAUAGAGCUGGCAAAUCCGGUGCCAGCCGCCGCGGCUACACCAUAAGCUCAAAUUGAUAAACAUCGGCGUUAAGCGUGAUUAAAGUGACCAACAAGUUAGAAUAAAAUUUUAACCAAGCCGUGACACGCUUGUUUUCUAGAAAAUCAAACACGAAAGUUAUUCUAAUUCUACCACUUGAAUACACGACAGCUAAGAAACAAACUGGGAUUAGGUACCCCACUAUGCUUAGCCGUAAAAUAUUUACCCACACUUAAACCGCCAGGGAAUUACGAGCCCAAGCUUAAAACCCAAAGGACUUGACGGUGUCCCACCCACCUAGAGGAGCCUGUUCUAUAAUCGAUUCCCCCCGCUUUACCUCACCACUUCUAGUUAUUCAGCCUGUAUACCUCCGUCGCAAGCUUACCAUAUGAAUGCCAAUUAGUGAGCUUAAAGAUUUUUACAUCAACACGUCAGGUCAAGGUGCAGCCAACGAAUUGGAAAGAAAUGGGCUACAAUUUCUAAUAUAGAAUAAACGAAAGACUUCAUGAAACAUAGUCACGAAGGCGGAUUUAGCAGUAAAAAGAAAAUAGAGUGUUCUUUUUAAUCAGGCGCUGGGACGCGUACACACCGCCCGUCACCCUCUUCAAUUUUUCAUUUUUAGUAAAUAACAACUAACCACUAUUCAGAAGAGGUAAGUCGUAACACGGUAAGCGUACUGGAAAGUGUGCUUGGAAUA
rnacentral:ncRNA from 1 species